rnacentral:rRNA from 1 species
AGAGUUUGAUCCUGGCUCAGGAUGAACGCUGGCGGCGUGCCUAACACAUGCAAGUCGAACGAAGCGCCUUUUGAGAUUCUUCGGAUGAUUGAUCGGUGACUGAGUGGCGGACGGGUGAGUAACGCGUGGGUAACCUGCCCUGUACAGGGGGAUAACAGUUGGAAACGGCUGCUAAUACCGCAUAAGCGCACGAGAGGACAUCCUCUUGUGUGAAAAACUCCGGUGGUACAGGAUGAGCCCGCGUCUGAUUAGCUGGUUGGCAGGGUAACGGCCUACCAAGGCGACGAUCAGUAGCCGGUCUGAGAGGAUGAACGGCCACAUUGGAACUGAGACACGGUCCAAACUCCUACGGGAGGCAGCAGUGGGGAAUAUUGCACAAUGGGGGAAACCCUGAUGCAGCAACGCCGCGUGAGUGAAGAAGUAUUUCGGUAUGUAAAGCUCUAUCAGCAGGGAAGAUAAUGACGGUACCUGACUAAGAAGCUCCGGCUAAAUACGUGCCAGCAGCCGCGGUAAUUCGUAUGGAGCAAGCGUUAUCCGGAUUUACUGGGUGUAAAGGGUGCGUAGGUGGCAGUGCAAGUCAGAUGUGAAAGGCCGGGGCUCAACCCCGGAGCUGCAUUUGAAACUGCUCGGCUAGAGUACAGGAGAGGCAGGCGGAGUUCCUAGUGUAGCGGUGAAAUGCGUAGAUAUUAGGAGGAACGCCAGUGGCGAAGGCGGUCUGCUGGACAGCAACUGACGCUGAGGCGCGAAAGCGUGGGGAGCAAACAGGAUUAGAUACCCUGGUAGUCCACGCUGUAAACGAUGGAUACUAGGUGUGGGGG